rnacentral:rRNA from 1 species
GAUGAACGCUGGCGGCGUGCUUAACACAUGCAAGUCGAACGGAAAGGCUCCUGCUUGCAGGGGUACUCGAGUGGCGAACGGGUGAGUAACACGUGGGUGAUCUGCCCUGCACUUCGGGAUAAGCCUGGGAAACUGGGUCUAAUACCGGAUAGGACCACAUUUUGGAUGGUGUGGUGGAAAGUUUUUCGGUGUGGGAUGAGCUCGCGGCCUAUCAGCUUGUUGGUGGGGUAAUGGCCUACCAAGGCGUCGACGGGUAGCCGGCCUGAGAGGGUGUACGGCCACAUUGGGACUGAGAUACGGCCCAGACUCCUACGGGAGGCAGCAGUGGGGAAUAUUGCACAAUGGGCGCAAGCCUGAUGCAGCGACGCCGCGUGGGGGAUGACGGCCUUCGGGUUGUAAACUCCUUUCGCUAGGGACGAAGCGCAAGUGACGGUACCUGGAGAAGAAGCACCGGCUAACUACG